rnacentral:misc_RNA from 1 species
GGAAGUAAAAGUGGUAACAAGGUUUCCGUAGGUGAACCUGCGGAAGGAUCAUUAUUGUAUAACCGAGGUGCGAGGGCUGUCGCUGACCCGAAAGGUCGUGCACGCCCGAGUGCCCUCACACACAUCCAUCUCACCCCUAUGUGCACCACCGCGUGGGUCCCCCUUUGGCUUGUUCGGAGGGGGGCUUACGUUUUCACACAAACUUUGUAUGCAGUGUAGAAUGUAUUUUUUGUUUUUGCGAUCACGCAAUCAAUACAACUUUCAACAACGGAUCUCUUGGCUCUC